rnacentral:rRNA from 1 species
UACGAAGGGGGCGAGCGUUGUUCGGAAUUACUGGGCGUAAAGGGCGCGUAGGCGGCCGAGCAAGUUAGAUGUGAAAGUCCUGGGCUUAACCUGGGGACUGCAUUUGAUACUGCUUGGCUUGAAUUCGGGAGAGGAUAGCGGAAUUCCCAGUGUAGAGGUGAAAUUCGUAGAUAUUGGGAAGAACACCGGUGGCGAAGGCGGCAUCCUGGACCGAUACUGACGCUGAGGAGCGAAAGCCAGGGGAGCAAACGGG